rnacentral:rRNA from 1 species
CCCGGCCUUGACAUACUAAGAACUUUCCAGAGAUGGAUUGGUGCCUUCGGGAACUUAGAUACAGGUGCUGCAUGGCUGUCGUCAGCUCGUGUCGUGAGAUGUUGGGUUAAGUCCCGNAACGAGCGCAACCCUUUUCCUUAUUUGCCAGCGGGUCAUGCCGGGAACUUUAAGGAUACUGCCAGUGACAAACUGGAGGAAGGCGGGGACGACGUCAAGUCAUCAUGGCCCUUACGGCCAGGGCUACACACGUGCUACAAUGGUCGGUACAAAGGGUUGCUACCUCGCGAGAGGAUGCUAAUCUCAAAAAGCCGAUCGUAGUCCGGAUCGCAGUCUGCAACUCGACUGCGUGAAGUCGGAAUCGCUAGUAAUCGCGGAUCAGAAUGCCGCGGUGAAUACGUUCCCGGGCCUUGUACACACCGCCCGUCACACCAUGGGAGUUUGUUGCACCAGAAGUAGGUAGUCUAACCGCAAGGAGGACGCUUACCACGGUGUGGCCGAUGACUGGGGUGAAGUCGUAACAAGGUAAGCGUAGAUGA